UACGGAGGGAGCUAGCGUUGUUCGGAAUUACUGGGCGUAAAGCGUACGUAGGCGGUUACUCAAGUCAGAGGUGAAAGCCCGGGGCUCAACCCCGGAACUGCCUUUGAAACUAGGUAGCUAGAAUCUUGGAGAGGUCAGUGGAAUUCCGAGUGUAGAGGUGAAAUUCGUAGAUAUUCGGAAGAACACCAGUGGCGAAGGCGACUGACUGGACAAGUAUUGACGCUGAGGUACGAAAGCGUGGGGAGCAAACAGG
rnacentral:rRNA from 2 species